GUGGUCACUGCAGCAGCACGUAUACUAAAAUUGGAACGAUAUAGAGAAGAUAAGCAUGGCCCAUGUGCAAGGAUGACACACAAAUUCAUGAAGCACCCCAUAUUUUA
ensembl:snRNA U6 U6 spliceosomal RNA